GAUCCUGGCUCAGAUUGAACGCUGGCGGCAUGCUUUACACAUGCAAGUCGAACGGCAGCAUAGAGAGCUUGCUCUCUGAUGGCGAGUGGCGAACGGGUGAGUAAUACAUCGGAACGUGUCCGUUUGUGGGGGACAACCACCCGAAAGGGUGGCUAAUACCGCAUAAGACCUGAGGGUGAAAGCCGGGGACCGCAAGGCCUGGCGCGAACGGAGCGGCCGAUGACUGAUUAGCUGGUUGGCGGGGUAAAGGCCCACCAAGGCGACGAUCAGUAGCUGGUCUGAGAGGACGACCAGCCACACUGGAACUGAGACACGGUCCAGACUCCUACGGGAGGCAGCAGUGGGGAAUUUUGGACAAUGGGGGCAACCCUGAUCCAGCCAUGCCGCGUGCGGGAAGAAGGCCUUCGGGUUGUAAACCGCUUUUGUCAGGGACGAAAAGGUGCGGGUUAAGAGCUAGCACUGAUGACGGUACCUGAAGAAUAAGCACCGGCUAACUACGUGCCAGCAGCCGCGGUAAUACGUAGGGUGCGAGCGUUAAUCGGAAUUACUGGGCGUAAAGCGUGCGCAGGCGGUUGGGUAAGACAGAUGUGAAAUCCCCGGGCUCAACCUGGGAACUGCAUUUGUGACUGUCCGACUGGAGUAUGUCAGAGGGGGGUGGAAUUCCAAGUGUAGCAGUGAAAUGCGUAGAUAUUUGGAAGAACACCGAUGGCGAAGGCAGCCCCCUGGGGCAAAACUGACGCUCAUGCACGAAAGCGUGGGGAGCAAACAGGAUUAGAUACCCUGGUAGUCCACGCCCUAAACGAUGUCUACUGGUUGUUGGAGGGUAAAACCUUCAGUAACGAAGCUAACGCGUGAAGUAGA
rnacentral:rRNA from 1 species